rnacentral:rRNA from 1 species
AUUGAACGCUGGCGGCAGGCUUAACACAUGCAAGUCGAGCGGGGGAAGGUAGCUUGCUACCGGACCUAGCGGCGGACGGGUGAGUAAUGCUUAGGAAUCUGCCUAUUAGUGGGGGACAACAUCUCGAAAGGGAUGCUAAUACCGCAUACGUCCUACGGGAGAAAGCAGGGGAUCUUCGGACCUUGCGCUAAUAGAUGAGCCUAGGUCGGAUUAGCUAGUUGGUGGGGUAAAGGCCUACCAAGGCGACGAUCUGUAGCGGGUCUGAGAGGAUGAUCCGCCACACUGGGACUGAGACACGGCCCAGACUCCUACGGGAGGCAGCAGUGGGGAAUAUUGGACAAUGGGGGGAACCCUGAUCCAGCCAUGCCGCGUGUGUGAAGAAGGCCUUAUGGUUGUAAGGCACUUUAAGCGAGGAGGAGGCUACUCUAGUUAAUACCUAGGGAUAGUGGACGUUACUCGCAGAAUAAGCACCGGCUAACUCUGUGCCAGCCGCCACCGUAA